UACGUAGGUGGCAAGCGUUGUCCGGAAUUAUUGGGCGUAAAGCGCGCGCAGGCGGUCCUUUAAGUCUGAUGUGAAAGCCCACGGCUCAACCGUGGAGGGUCAUUGGAAACUGGGGGACUUGAGUACAGAAGAGAAGAGUGGAAUUCCACGUGUAGCGGUGAAAUGCGUAGAGAUGUGGAGGAACACCAGUGGCAAAGGCGACUCUUUGGUCUGUAACUGACGCUGAGGCGCGAAAGCGUGGGGAGCAAACAGG
rnacentral:rRNA from 1 species